rnacentral:rRNA from 1 species
AUUGAACGCUGGCGGCAUGCUUUACACAUGCCAGUCGAACGGUAACAGGCCGCAAGGUGCUGACGAGUGGCGAACGGGUGAGUAAUGCAUCGGAACGUGCCCAGUCGUGGGGGAUAACUACUCGAAAGAGUAGCUAAUACCGCAUACGAUCUAUGGAUGAAAGCGGGGGACCGUAAGGCCUCGCGCGAUUGGAGCGGCCGAUGUCAGAUUAGGUAGUUGGUGGGGUAAAGGCUCACCAAGCCAACGAUCUGUAGCUGGUCUGAGAGGACGACCAGCCACACUGGGACUGAGACACGGCCCAGACUCCUACGGGAGGCAGCAGUGGGGAAUUUUGGACAAUGGGCGCAAGCCUGAUCCAGCAAUGCCGCGUGCAGGAAGAAGGCCUUCGGGUUGUAAACUGCUUUUGUACGGAACGAAACGGCUCUGGUUAAUACCCGGGGCUAAUGACGGUACCGUAAGAAUAAGCACCGGCUAACUACGU